GGAAUAUUGAGAAAAAUCGCCAUAAUUUGCGCGCAAAAAGCACCUGCGUCAAAAAGAACCUCUCGCAUGCUAUCCCGAAACGCCGAUGGCGAGAGAGCGUGUGGAGAAGAUAUUCGCAGGCGUCUCAGCAGUUCUCAUCAAACCAUGGACACGUAAUAUUUACAACUGUAUUUACAACCUCAGGGCGACGACGACUCCAGUGGCUCUAUUGUGAGUAAUUCAUUCAUUCAUGUUUUCGUGGGCGACUGGUGGUUGCCCGUUUUCUUAUUCUAACUAAUAUUCUAUUAAACACUAUUUUCUUUUCUUCUGGCGCACCGGAGCUUCUGAAACAUUUGAAAGCUAUAGAAGCAACUGCCUCAACUACAAUUCACCUCAAAACCAUUGGAUGCCGCUCUAAUUUUUAAAAAAUAAUGAAACAAUUUUUUUUAUUUAAUAAUCUGUUUUCAAUAAAGUAUUGUAAAUAU
ensembl:lincRNA linc-75 ncRNA